UUAAGCGACUAAGCGUACACGGUGGAUGCCCUGGCAGUCAGAGGCGAUGAAGGACGUGCUAAUCUGCGAAAAGCGUCGGUAAGGUGAUAUGAACCGUUACAGCCGGCGAUGUCCGAAUGGGGAAACCCAGUGCAAUUCGUUGCACUAUCGUUAACUGAAUACAUAGGUUAACGAGGCGAACCGGGGGAACUGAAACAUCUAAGUACCCCGAGGAAAAGAAAUCAACCGAGAUUCCCCCAGUAGCGGCGAGCGAACGGGGAGCAGCCCAGAGUCUGAAUCAGCUUGUGUGUUAGUGGAACGGUCUGGAAAGUCCGACGGUACAGGGUGAUAGUCCCGUACACCAAAAUGCACAGGCUGUGAACUCGAAGAGUAGGGCGGGACACGUGGUAUCCUGUCUGAAUAUGGGGGGACCAUCCUCCAAGGCUAAAUACUCCUGACUGACCGAUAGUGAACCAGUACCGUGAGGGAAAGGCGAAAAGAACCCCGGCGAGGGGAGUGAAAAAGAACCUGAAACCGUGUACGUACAAGCAGUGGGAGCACCUUCGGGUGUGACUGCGUACCUUUUGUAUAAUGGGUCAGCGACUUAUAUUCUGUAGCAAGGUUAACCGUAUAGGGGAGCCGCAGGGAAACCGAGUCUUAACUGGGCGUUAAGUUGCAGGGUAUAGACCCGAAACCCGGUGAUCUAGCCAUGGGCAGGUUGAAGGUUGGGUAACACUAACUGGAGGACCGAACCGACUAAUGUUGAAAAAUUAGCGGAUGACUUGUGGCUGGGGGUGAAAGGCCAAUCAAACCGGGAGAUAGCUGGUUCUCCCCGAAAGCUAUUUAGGUAGCGCCUCGUGAAUUCAUCUUCGGGGGUAGAGCACUGUUUCGGCUAGGGGGUCAUCCCGACUUACCAACCCGAUGCAAACUACGAAUACCGAAGAAUGUUAUCACGGGAGACACACGGCGGGUGCUAACGUCCGUCGUGAAGAGGGAAACAACCCAGACCGCCAGCUAAGGUCCCAAAGUCACAGUUAAGUGGGAAACGAUGUGGGAAGGCACAGACAGCCAGGAUGUUGGCUUAGAAGCAGCCAUCAUUUAAAGAAAGCGUAAUAGCUCACUGGUCGAGUCGGCCUGCGCGGAAGAUGUAACGGGGCUAAACUGUGCACCGAAGCUGCGGCAGCGACACUUAGGUGUUGUUGGGUAGGGGAGCGUUCUGUAAGCCUGCGAAGGUGGCCUGUGAGGGUUGCUGGAGGUAUCAGAAGUGCGAAUGCUGACAUAAGUAACGAUAAUGCGGGUGAAAAGCCCGCACGCCGGAAGACCAAGGGUUCCUGUCCAACGUUAAUCGGGGCAGGGUGAGUCGACCCCUAAGGCGAGGCCGAAAGGCGUAGUCGAUGGGAAACAGGUUAAUAUUCCUGUACUUGGUGUUACUGCGAAGGGGGGACGGAGAAGGCUAUGUUAGCCGGGCGACGGUUGUCCCGGUUUAAGCAUGUAGGCGGAGGUUCCAGGUAAAUCCGGUACCUUUUAACGCUGAGGUGUGAUGACGAGGCACUACGGUGCUGAAGUAACAAAUGCCCUGCUUCCAGGAAAAGCCUCUAAGCAUCAGGUAACAUUGAAUCGUACCCCAAACCGACACAGGUGGUCAGGUAGAGAAUACCAAGGCGCUUGAGAGAACUCGGGUGAAGGAACUAGGCAAAAUGGUGCCGUAACUUCGGGAGAAGGCACGCUGAUAUGUAGGUGAAGCCCCUGCGGGUGGAGCUGAAAUCAGUCGAAGAUACCAGCUGGCUGCAACUGUUUAUUAAAAACACAGCACUGUGCAAACACGAAAGUGGACGUAUACGGUGUGACGCCUGCCCGGUGCCGGAAGGUUAAUUGAUGGGGUUAUCCGUAAGGAGAAGCUCUUGAUCGAAGCCCCGGUAAACGGCGGCCGUAACUAUAACGGUCCUAAGGUAGCGAAAUUCCUUGUCGGGU
rnacentral:rRNA from 1 species